rnacentral:lncRNA from 1 species
GUAAUUAGGAAUUUUGAAAUCUCUUGAUGAGAAUUACUGUUUAAUUUGUUAAGUGUUAAAUAUUUGGAUUUAAAUCAGAAAUAGAAAAUUAGAUAUUGAGUGAAACUACAAGCAAAUUAAGUCCCAACGUAGCCUGGAGGUAGCAUGUGGCCAUAUAUUUUGGUCUCUGGGUAGCUGUGCAAUGUUCCUGAGCUACACGACUCCAUUUGGACCUUGGUGCCACCUGCUCCUGUGACUGCUUCCUAGCACUGGCCUCUGUGGACAGGUUGGUCUCUGUCUGGCUUCUGCAUCCGCUGUUAACCUGGUCACACUCCUGACAGGGCAUGGGAAUAGCUUCAUCUCUUCUGGAGAUCUAUGGAUUCUGAGACCCAUCUCAUACUUUCAAAUAUGUAUAUGUAUGAAGAAGUUGUAUGUAUGAAUAUGUAUAUGUAUGAAGAAGUUGUCAGGAUUAUGUAUACUAAGAAAGAAAAAAAUAUUAGCACUGAUUUACACUGUGCUUGCCUCUUAGAAUCAGGUUUUUUGUUUUUUUUUUUCAAAUCAGUGAUUUUUUAAAAGAACUUGUAUUAAAAUGAAACAUAGGGAUCAUCUGGAAGCUUAGCAGGAAAGAAAGAAAAAAUGGAGAUAAGUGGCAAAAUAUCUGUUAGUAUAUAAGAAAUGAAAUUGAAAUAUGUAGAGCUGUUAAGAUUUGGAUGUGAGGUGUCUCCAAAGCUCCCAAUAUUUUGCAAACAUUGAACUGGUGAGGAGAGAAGUGUAGCAAGAACAAUCCUGAGAGGUGUAAUAGGGACUCUUUCUUAGGCUCUUGUUUCAGUCAGAAUUUUGACUGCUGUGAGUAAAAGUCCUAACAAGAAUAAUUUUAGAGGAGGACAAGUUUAUUUGGGGACUCACAAUUUCAGAAGUCUCAGCUCUGUCUCACAUGUGAGAUGAUGCAAGAAGGUUUAGAGAAGAAAUGAUUGGGUUUUGAGAGCCUUAACCUAAUCAGUGAAUUAAUCCCCUGAUGGAAUUAACUGAAUGGUAACUGAAGGUGGGUAGAUGUGGCUGGAGUAGGUGGAUCCCUGGGGGCAUGCCUUUUGGGUAUAUAUUUGUAUCUGGUGAAUGGAGUCUCUCUCUGCUUCUUGAUCCACAUUAGUUGCUUUCCUCGGCCAUACUCUUCCUCUCAACUCUGAGGCAUGGAGCCAGCUGUCUAUGAGCUGAGACUUCUGAAAUUGGGAGUCCCCAAAUAAACUUUUCCUCUUCUAAAAUUAUUCUUGUUAGGACUUUUACUCACAGCAGUGAAAAAUCUGACUGAAACAAGAGCCUAAGAAAGAGUCCUUGGUACACCUCUCAGGAUUGCUCUGCCUACACUUCUCUCCUCACCAGUUCCAUGUUUGCAAAAUAAAGCAGUCUCCUGUGGGGGUUCAUUUCAAGACUUCUAGUGGAUUCCUGGAUAUUGCUGAUAGUAUUAAGCUUUACAUACAAAUACCACAUUCUGAUGAUAACGGGAGAUGGCUAAGGGGUGAGGAAUAGAAAUGUAAACAGCCUGAAAAUGCUGUACAGAGGGAUAUCUCACAUCCCAGGCUAGUUGGGGCAGGACAGCCAGGGAUUUCCUCACACUACUCAGAAUAAUACUACAUUUAAUAUUUAUUGAGCCCACAGUCAAAGCCAUGCAAUUGAAAAACUUAUACAUGGUUUACUUCUGGAAUUUUCCAUUUAAUAUUUUCAGACCGGCCACAGGUAGCUGAAUCCAUGGAAAGUGAAACAGUAGAGAGGAGGACUACUGUAUUCUUGCAUUUCAUUUGUCCCUCCAGUCCCUCAUUCUUACCCAAUAGCCCUUAAUGUGGUCAAAAAGGGAAAUUCUUUAAAGAACUGAAAUGUCUGCAGGCUUUAAGGGCAUUAACAUACAGAUUUUCAUUAAAAGAAGAAGAAGAAAAAAGAGGAAGAAGAGGAGGAGGAGGAGGAGGAGGAGGAAAACAAUGAAGUCAGUGUUUCUCAAUGGUCUUUCCAUCUUUGCAUUUUUUACCCUCCUCCAAAGCCAUUUUAGAAAGCUUCCUCAUCACUCUUCUCCUAAGAAAUUUGAAUACCAGAAAUUCUGUGUAUCUGUUUUAUGUUCUGUCAUCUUUGGAAGGGCCCCCAAAGGGCACAUGGUCCCAUCGAGUUAAGUGAACAGCUCUGCUUUCAAUACCAUCCUAAUUAGCAUGAAAUAGUAAAAAGAAUACUCCACUUGUAGUCACUUUCCUAUGGAGGAUUAGAAUACCAACUCUACUCUGUGUAUCUCUGUUAUUCUAGAAAAAGUAAUCAAUUUCCUUGAAUGUCAAUUUUCUCACAUAUAAAACGAGGAGGAGGUUAAAAUAACAAGUAAGCAAACAAACAGAACUAAAAAUAUCUUAUCUAUCAAUAUCACAGUGUGUUGUGAAAGAAAUUUUUCCUGAGAUAAUUUAAUUUAUCAAGUCAGGGCACUCCACAUGCUGGCCUUUCAUCUCUCUUCACAAAACCAGGGUGUCAUUAACAUAAAAAGAACCUCUAGUGUUUGCACAGUAGCAAUGCACUUUGGUAUUUUAGUUAAGCAAGCAGCCAGAUAAUAAAUUUCUUUACCAGGGACUUUGUCUAGGAAUAAGGGAGGAGAAUUUGUGCUUAAUGGAGGAAAAGCCAUGAAGGAAAGUCUUGGAGUAUUUUUCCCUUAGAAACUCUAAAACCAACAUUAAAUAUUGACUUCAGUGAAUUAUUUGCAAACAAGGGCUAGAUCAGGUGAUUGCAAACAAUUCCUCUACAAUUUAAUUCAUUGCUCUUCUAUAAGAAACCUAAUUAUCUUUAGAUACCCUAAGAUUUCAAUGUUAACUUUUAUUUCUAACCCUAUUUUGUUAAGUAUAACACCUAUAUGUUAGUAUUAUAAAACACAUUUAAUUUUCAACUCAACAACUUUGAAAAUAUACAAUUGGUUGAAAAAUAAUACUACAUUUAAUAUUUAUUGAGCCCACAGUCAAUGCCAGGCCCUGGACUAGUUGUAUUACUGUUAUGGUUUUCAGUCUUUUAGUAGCUCAUGGCAUUAGUGUUACAUACUCUAUUGGUUUUCUAUAGUAUGUCGAUCAUUUUCUUUUCAAUAGCCCCUGGCCUUGCUGUUUUAUUUCCCAUGCUUAUAGUUACCCUCAGUCAAUGAUGGUACAAAAAUAUUAAGUGGAAAGUUCCAGAAAUAAACAAUUCAUGAGUUUUAAAUUGCAUGCCAUUCUGAGAACCAUUCUCAUGCUGUCCUGUUCUGUAUCAUCUGGAUGUAAAUCUUCCUUUUGUCCAGAUUAUCCACACUGUAUACACUAACCAACCACCCAGUAGUUACUUAGUAGUUACUUCUUAUCAAAUAUAUAAUAUCAUGAUGCUUGUGUUCCCUUAAUAUGGACCCCAAAGCACAGGAGUAAUGAUGUUGAUAUUUUGGGUGUGUCAAAGAGAAGCUAUAAAGGGCUUCCUUUAAGUGAAAAGGUGAGAGUUCUUGACAUAAUAAAAAAAAUAAAAAAAUAAAAACAUAUGCUGAGGUUACUAAGAUCUAUAGUAAAUAUGACUGAGGGGUAGAGCUUUUGCCUAGCAUGUGUGAGGCACUGAGUUUGAUCCUCAGCACCACAUUUAAAAAUAAAUAAAUAAAAAGAUAUUGUGUUCGCCUACAACUAAAAAAUAUAUUUUUUUAAAGAAUGAAUGUGCUAUUUAUGGUAUUGUAAAGAAUAAAAAGAAAUUUGUGCUAGUUCUGCUGCUGCAUUUCAAAGUGCAAAAGUUAUGGCCCACCUGUGCAUAAGUGCUCAAAUAAGAUGGAGAAGGCAUUAAGAUUUGCCUAUGGAGGUACAGGAAAAAAACAGGGUUUUCUAUUAUCCAUGGUUUCAGACAUCCACUGGGGGAUAGAACUUAUCCCCCAGUGAUAGGGAAGGACCACUGGACUCUAAAUUCUGUGGUCAACAGUUUGGUCUGAGCUCAUCUGGGCAGUUCUUCUGCUGGAUCUUGCUUAGGGUCACUCAUAUGGCCUCAGUCCAAAAGUGGAUUGACUAGAGACUCCUGGUCUAGGGAGCCUUGCUGAAAAAUGGCUCUUUUCUGCUAUAUGUGGUCACUCUCUCCAGAGGUCUGCCUGGGCUAGGCCUCAUGGCUGCUGCAUACCAAGAGGGCAAACAUGGAGCCUGCAUGGCUGCCUGAACAUGAGAUUCAGAACUCACAGAUCACUUCCUGGAAGCGUACUAGUCAAAGCAAGUCACAGGCCAGCCCAGAUUUAGGCAGGGUGAGGAUGGAUUCCAUCUCUUCAUGGUAGAACUGUCAAGGAUUUGAGGCCUUUGAAAUCUGUUUCACAUGCUUUCACAGAUGAGUGAUCUAAGAUUCAGAGGGAUUGUGUAACACACCUAAGAUCUCAAAGCCAGCUGCUGUGCAGUAGCAGGGAUAAGCUCUGAAUUCAGAUUUUUAUGAUUUCCAUGCCUUCUUAACCACAUAGCAUUCAAUUGUGCUUCAUGCACAUCUGAAUUUCUCAAAGCACUUGUGGUCUGAAUUGAGCAUUGACAGUCGCCUCCCUCCAUCCCCAGGAGACAUCAUAUAUUGAAGACCUAAUCCUUGGUACCUCAGAAUGCGAAUGUAUUUGGACAUAGAUCUUUAAAGAGAUAAUUAAAUUAAAUGAGUUUAUUAGAUUGAGCCCAAAUUGACAUGAUGUUGUCCUUGGAACAAAAGGUUAGGAUAUAGACAGCAGGAAUAGGGGAGACCAGGUAAAGACGGAGGGCAACCAACUCUGCUGACACCUUGGUCUCAGAUUUCCAGUCUCCACAAUUGUGACAGAAGAAGUUUCUGUUGUUUCAGGGACCCAGUCUGGGGUGCAUGAUUAAAUGUUAUGGCACUGUCACACAGAUGGGCUCAUCAGUGUUUGUACUGACUUUACAGGGCUGGUAGGUUAAGUACUACAGUCACUCGUAUUUGAUCUGACAUACUUGAAAUCACUCAGUAGGGCCUGCUAGUGGGGAGACCCCAUCAGAAAAAGGUCUUUUUUGGGUUUGGGCACAAGAUUUUCUCUUCUAAAUCAAGACUCAUGAUUCAUUUCUAACCUCCAAUUUUCUCUUGUGGAUAUUCCUGCUGUUUUCUAUGAGAAACUGAUAAUUUGAUAAUCAAAGCACAUUAAAUCUGUUUUUUUUUCUUACUAGGAAGGUAAAAACUGUGCUAUUUGUUAUUUAUUUUCAGAACUCUCCUAGUUAACACUUUUUGCUUUUGCUUCUGCCUACUUUAUUAUUAUUUUUUUCUUCACUCCAGACCAAUUAAGUCAGAAUGUGCAUUUUGACAAGUUCCUGCAGGUGAUUUUGAUCACACCAAUGUUUGAGAAGAGCUGUAUUAGUGAACCUCAUGAAGAGUUUAUCUUUUACUUAGUUUGGCACCUACAACGUCCUGAGAAUAUUCUUACCUCAUAGACGGUCAUAAAUCUAAAAUAGUGAACUGCAAUUGUAGAGAUAACAAGCUAGAAGAGAGUUGGAUUUUAACCACCUUAUUCUAGCAGAAAGGAAUCAGGUAAGCUUUACAGGGUAUAGUAUUAAAGAGAAAGAAGAAUGGAAAUUGAAAAAGGGAAUGUCCAUUCUAGGGACAUGUCUGUCCUCUCUUGUUCUCUGAUUGCUCAUUUGUAGAGGAUAUGGUGAAAGCUUUGACAUUCCCAGUCCUGUCCUACAUCUGUCUCCAGCCUUACUAUUGUUGAAUGAGUGAUGUAGUUAAACCAUUUUUCAGUGCUAGACAUAGGAGGGGUUUUUCCUUGCUGAAUGUGCCAAGCCUGGGUCCUUUAAAGAUUUUUGUCAAUUAUGUGAAUGAAAUGAUAGAACAAAGGUUCUUGUGUUCCUAAGAACUCAAAUCUGGGAGAAUGUGGUAAGGGCCACUAGUUAUCCCUCACAUCUACUUUUAUCCUCUUAAUGACAGAAGUGUUCUCUUUGGUCUGACACAUAGCUGCCCAAAAUACAGGUCAAAAUUUUCCGCCUUCCUUGCAUCUAGAUGUGGCCACAUGGCUAAGUUCUUACUAACAGCAGUAUAGGCCAAAGGAUUUUAUGGAAGUGAAACUUUUGGUGGGAGGAGGAGAGGGCCACCUUAAACGGACUGGUUCUUGGUUCUUUCUGGCUUCCUGUUGGCUGGGAAAUGGAUGUGACAGCUGGAGAUCAUUUUCAUCUUGGACUAUGAAGUGGAAGAGGUAUGUAAGUGGAAAGAACCCAGUGGAAGGGACCAGGGAUCCUGAUGAUCAAGACUUGUCACACUCUAGUCCUGAAGAGCCUACCUCUAAUCCUUGUUCACAUAAGAUAGAAAUAAGUUUCUAUUUUUUUAAAACUCACAAUAUCUGAGUGUCAUAUUAUUCACAACCAGCAUUAAUUCUAGCCAAUCCCUAAGGCUUGCUAUGUAUUAAAUAAUAAGAUCAAAAUUGGAACCACUGAGAUAAUGGUUAAAAUGUUAUAAAAUAAAAUGGAAAAAGCGAAAUUUCAAUGCUUUUCUUUUUAAAUUUUUUAUUUGUAGAAGGACACAAUGCCUUUAUUUCAUUUAUUUAUUUAUUUAUUGCAGUGAUGAAGGUCUAACCCAGUGCCUCACAUUUGCUAGGCAAAUGCUAUAUCACUGAGCCACAACCCCAACCCUUCAAUACUUUUCUUUAAAAGAUAUAUCCAUAUAUAGAAUUGAGGAGAACUGGCCAAGUAAUAAUUUCCAUAUAAAAGACUUGUGCAUGUGAGGAGAGGAGAGUUGGCAGACACAAAUAUCCUGUGGGUAAAUAGGGUAAUAAGACUGUUUAAGGCUAAUGCAUGCUAGGCUAAGUUAAAUUUUACCCAGACCAAAGCAGGUUAGUACUCUCAAUUCUCCACACUGGCACAGCACAUUGGAGUAUUGUGUUCUUUUCCAGGCCCCAUAUUCUUUGGAAGGAGAGCGACAAACUACAGCUGCUAAUGGAAGGGGCUGUGAAGUAUUAUCCCAGAGAGGGAAAGAUGCAGAGGACACUUAAUCAUCACCCCUAGAUAUUCAACGACUGGUCACAUGGAAGACAGAAUAUGACUGCUUAUUCACUUCUGCUCCCAGGCUCCCAGGUAAGGGUCACAUUUACCACCAAUGAAUGAAAGGUACUGGGGGCAAGCUUUGGCUCCACUUAAGUAAUGUCUCAAUAUCAAACACUACCUCAUGUGUUAAGUUCAGUCAUCAUCAAAUCACAAGUGCUCACUCAAAUUCACAAUAGUUAAGCUAUGGAAACAACCUAGAUGCCCUUCAACAGAUGAAUGGAUAAAGAAAAUGUGGUAUAUACACACAAUGGAAUGUUACUCAGCCAUAAAGAAGAAUGAAAUUAUGGCAUUUUCUGGUAAAUGGAUGGAACUGGAGACUAUCAUGCUAAGUGAAAUAAGCCAACCCCCCAAAACCAAAGGUCAAAUGUUCUCUCUGAUAUGGGGAUGCUGACUCACAAUAGGCCAGGGAUGAGGGGGGGAAGAAAGGAGGAGUGGGGGUUCACUGAGUUGGACAGGGGAGAAUGGGGGAAAGGGAGGAGGUAUGGGAAUGGGAAAGGCGGUAGAACGAAUCAGACAUAACCUCCCUAUGUUCAUAUAUGAAUACCCAACCAGUGUUAACUCCACAUCCAUCAUGUUCUACCCCAAGAAUGGGAAGUUCCAUGUAUGUUUCAUAUCAUACAUGCUUCAUGUAUGUUUUUCCUAACUCUAGCAAUAACAACAAGACUCUGUGUGGUAUGGCAGGAGAAAAACCCACUGGACUUAUCUAGGGCCCUGAAGGUAACAAAAAAAAUCAUGAAACAAGUAGAGAAACGGAUCAGAACAUCUACAUUUAAAUUUUGAAUCUUCAGCUUCCUAGUUGUAGGGUCUGGGACAGGACAUGGAGUCUGUUUGAACUUUACUUUCUUCAUGAGUAAAACCCAAAUAAUUAUGAACAACUUUCAGGGUCGUGAUGGCUAAAAAUAAAUAUCUUAAGCCCUGUUAAUGACAGGUACUCAAAACUGGUAGUCACCAUUAACUGCUGGCUAAGAUGUGAACCCAAGGCAGGUAUUUUUUGCAGCUUGGUAGUUAGAAAAAUUUAAACACUAGAGAUCUUAUAGGAUUUAAAGGAGAGAUUGAAAUGCAUUUAGUCUAUGCCUCAUUUUUAUAAUUUUUGUAAUGUUUUAUUUAGGAAUUGUCUAGAAUUUUAAAACUUUAUUCUUUUGGAUGAAAUAUAUAUCAUAAGGACUGGGAAACUGAAAAAUCAUAUUUCCCAGACACAUGGAACCUUAGGGUUGUGGGUGUGUUUUUGAUGUAUUCCUGCAAGACUAAAUUAGUGAAAAAAUAAAGAAAGACUGUGCUAUACAGGAGGUGGCAUGCGAGUGUGGGAGAAAUAGAGAUUAAUAAACAAUCUUCUGCACCAACCCUGAAAAUCUCUGCACAGAGAAGAAAACUGAAUUACUAUUGAAUAAGCCUUAACUAGAAUGCAAUACACACUGUGCAAUUUACUAGAGUUUGCAAAGGCAGAAAGAAAUCUCAUCUUUUAAUAUAGCCAAGCAGAGACAGCCCAUUCCACCUGUUUUCAAGAAACAACUUGUGUGCAAGCAAAAAGACACUUUGGCACUGUUUAUCACACAUAGUUGAUCCAAAUUUCACCUGCUGUUGGGCUAGCCACCUGCGUUUGCUCAUUGCUGUUAGCCCAAGGAAAACUGAAUGUCUUAUAUCUUCAUGACAGGAGGUAGCUUUGCAGCUCAGAAACAAAUGCCUGAGUUUUCUGUCUCCCUGUACCACCCCCAUCCCACUAAAGCCUGAGAGACAGAGGCUCUCGCUUCCUUGAUGGUUACAUUUCAGAGCUGGUUUUCAUGUCCUUGAGAAACAUUUCUGGGUUAUAAAAUUGGUAAGAAUCUUAUUCAUUAUUUAAAGAGUUACAAAUAUUUCAAAAAGGCAGAGAAAUUAUGAUAGGUUUUCUAAAAUAAGUACUCGAAGGGAGAGAAAUCACUUUUUUUCUUGGUACUAUAUAGUCCUAAAUCCAGUAAUUAAAAAUUUUAAUAACAUAUAUAAGCUUCGAAUUAGUCAAUUUUUAUUACUAAUUGUAUUUGUUAGCCUCUCAUUACUAUAACACAAUUCUUGAGAUCAUCAGCUUCUAAAGGGAAAAUGCUAUUUUGGCUCACAGGUUUGAAGUUUCCUCUUCAUGACUGGUUGACCCUGCUGUUUCAGGCCUGUGGUAUCAGAACACAUCAUGGCAGGAGCACUUGGUGGAGCAAAACUGCUUGUCUCAUGGUCUUGAAACAAGAGACUCAGGUGGAGAUGCAUCUCCUGAUCCCCUUUGAUGACAUUGCCCUCUAUGAUCUAAAGACCUCUCACCAGGCCCCACCUCCUAGAGGUUUCACCACCUCCCAAUAGCACCACCCUGGAGAACAAAGCUUUGUGCUUUGAGGGGACAUUUAAGAUUCAAACUAUAGCACCUGGCCUUUCAUAAACAUUGCUUUCUGUAAGGGAGCAAUUUGAAGGACUCACUUACUAUACACUUAGUCUCCUACACAUAUGUAAAUUCAUAUCUAUGUGUUCACUUUGAGAGGAAUGUUAUAAUUUUUUGAGUUUGUUUUAGGAAGAGUUUGUCUCUUUAUGUAUACUUGAAUAAAAGUAAUGAAUAUGAAUGUGAUAUUUCUUUUCUGUGCAUAUAUUCUUAGAAUUAAGGGAUGUAAAUUAAAACUACACGAAGAUAACACUAACUCCCCAAGAACAGUGACAAUUUAAAAUAACUGAUAAUUCCAAGUGUUGAUAAGGAUUCAGAGCAUUGGUAGUGAUACACAAUCUCUUUGGAAAAAUUAUUUUAUGUCUACAAAAUUUGAUCAGAUUCAUUCUCUAUGACAUUUAUAUUCUGAGGCAUCUAACAGAAAUGCACAUGUACACCAAAAGAUAUUCAAGAAUGUUUAAGAUGAUACCAUCUGAAUAGGCUCAAGCUGAAAACAUUUCAAACUUCAGUAAAGAAUUGAUGAAUAAACAAAUUGUGAUAUAUUUAUACAAUGGAAUAAUGCAGCAACAAAGCAAAUACCUCUACACGCAAUAACCUGGUGGACUUCAGAAAUAUAACGGUGAGCUAUAGAACCCAUAUACAAAAUAAUACAUAGUAUAUAGCUUCAUUUAUUUUUAUAUAUUUGUACAGAAUACGAAAAAUUAUUCUGUUGUGUUAAAAUUCAGGACAGUUGCUCUUUUUUGAGAGGUGAGGGAGAUACAGCUUGAGACGG